CGUGCUAUGUCUUUUAGACACCCAAGCUCCUAGAUGGAGCCUGUCCCUGCUCGAGCGGUAAAUUUCCAGCAGCUCUUAGUCUCUUUUCACCUGGGAAGAAGCAGUGAAAUAAAUCAAGCCCGUGCCAGCUAGGAAGGACCCCAAACUCUGCUCCUGAGCUCUCCCAAAGCAGGUGGAUGAAAGAAUUUGAAGAACGCCCAGCCGAAGUCACCAGAAAAAUUCCGGUGGAUGGAAUUCCACCACCAACGACAUUAUGUUGAAACCCUGGAUGAAGUUUAGAAACCCCCUUCUGAAACCUUGAUAGAAGCCAACGAGAAAGUGGAAGAAGAAGUCCAGAAUUGUGAUACUUACUACGUUGAAUGUUCCUUCUGGAGACCAAAGGCAGAAGCUGAAGGCUUUUUCAAAUGGUUUCAAGGGACUGGAAAGCUGAAGAGAUAAUCACCAGUUCGUGAUACAUACCAGACGAGGUCGCUCAGAAACUUGACUCUUUGUCUGUUGAAUCCUUCUUGUGAUCCUAGGUCAACUAAUGUCGUACCAGUGCAAACAGCCGUGUUCGUGCCCUGCCGUUUGUGUAAAAUCCGCUCCUGCUCAGACGCCAUGCAGCCCACCCAGCUCCUGCAUUUGUGUAUCUGAGCCCGUGAAAGUGGUCAAGAGCUCCUCCUCCUGCCAAAAAUCAUGCACCGAUACCAAGGCCCCGGCGGCUAAGUGCACCUCGCCGUGUAGCAGUUGCUGCCCGGUUGUCUGCGUCAGCUCGUGCGAGUCAAAACCCACCUGUUCUUGCCAAACGUCUGCCUGCGUCGUGCCCACCCAGAGCUGCGAUUGUACAAAGCCGUGUCAAGCCACAAAGAGCGACGAUCCUUGCCAGUCCUCUGCAACGCCGUGUCAAGCCAGCAUCUGUGUGGUGCCGUGCCAGACCUGUGCUCCUGCCCCCGAACCGUGCCAGACCCAAACUUACACCUGUAUCCCUAUCCAACUUAGCCAGUGCUGCUGUGGUCGGAUUGUGCUGAUGCCGGUGUCCACCUGCGCUGCUCCCUGUGCCCCAUCUGCAUCCCCCGCUCCGUGCUGCACUUGUACAUGCUGUUGCAAACCAUGCUGCAACUGAAGUGCUGUGCGUGGCGUCCGUUGUGCAAUCUGGCUUUGAACUCCUAAAGCCAAUUGCUUUCUUUCUCCUGGUCAUGCGUGGUGUCUUUUCUUUCAGCUACGUUCUUGCACUUAAUUUUUUCCUCCUACCUACAUUAACACAUCGUAUUCUAUAUAUUUUCUCUUUGGGGGAUGAAACUCAGGUUGUUGGACUCUCCAGAAUAACCGCAUAAAUCUGCUCUUGUGGAGUCAAGGGCAAAAAAGAAACACGAUCUGUUAACACGUUCCAUUUCUGCGCAACGCAGAACAACGUACAGAAUGCAGAACAACCUGCUGAACACAGAACAACAUGCAGAAUGCAGAACAACCCGCCGAACACAGAACAACAUGCAGAAUGCAGAUGGUAGAAUACAGAACAACAUGCAGAAUGCAGAAUAACCUACUGAACACAGAACAACAUGCAGAAUCCAGAACAAUAUGCAGAAUGCAGAUGGCAGAAUACAGAACAACAUGCAGAAUGCAGAACAACCUACUGAACACAGAACAUGCAGAACGCAGAACAACUUGCAGAGUGUAGAACAACAUGCAGAACGCAGAACAACAUGCAGAAUGCAGAACAACAUGCAGAAUGCAGAUGGCAGAAUACAGAACAACAUGCAGAAUGUAGAACAACAUGCAGAACGCAGAACAACAUGCAGAACGCAGAAGAAACAAACAACACAGGAAAAGUACGUAAUGAAGAUUCAAUGCUGGGAAUUGAGAUUCAAAACGUGACACUUCUGCUUCAGAUUUUUCAAGUUUUUGAAACGUAUGAGGGAUUAACUUUGGCAAACUGCCAUUUCGUUCCGUCUUCUAGUACAGGUAGUCCUUGAGUUACGACCGUAAUGGAGUCUGCCCAUCACGGUUGUAACUCACAACAGUCCUAGUUUUUAUAAUUUUAUGACCUUUCCCCCCCCCAGUGGUCAUUAAGUGAACACUGAGGAACCUUCUCUCCCCUUCUCUCCUCUGCUGGCUUUGUGUGUGAAGUUGUAUCGAAUAAACUUUGCUUUGUUUUCCUUCC